GGGGCUAUAGCUCAGCUGGGAGAGCGCUUGCAUGGCAUGCAAGAGGUCAGCGGUUCGAUCCCGCUUAGCUCUG
rnacentral:tRNA from 1 species